rnacentral:tRNA from 1 species
ACUUCCUUAGUAUAAUUAGUACAACUGACUUCCAAUCAGUUAGUUCUGGUCUAACCCAGAAUGAAGUA